UACGUAGGGGGCAAGCGUUGUCCGGAAUCAUUGGGCGUAAAGCGCGUGUAGGCGGCCCGAUAAGUCCGCUGUGAAAGUCCAGGGCUCAACCCUGGAAAGCCGGUGGAAACUGUCGGGCUAGAGUCCGGAAGAGGCGAGUGGAAUUCCUGGUGUAGCGGUGGAAUGCGCAGAUAUCAGGAGGAACACCGAUGGCGAAGGCAGCUCGCUGGGACGGUACUGACGCUGAGGCGCGAAAGCGUGGGGAGCGAACAGG
rnacentral:rRNA from 1 species